UGAGCAUCAUUCCUUAUUGAUAUAUGAAAUAAAAAAGAUAGGUCACCGACAUCGUUUUUGAGAUAGCGGCACAUUUAUGGGUUAAAUUGGAAGGCUUUAUGCUGUCGUCAUGUUGCCAUGGGAACAUUGAUGUUGUCGAAAUCUAGUUUAAAUGUUCCUUAGGUGACCAAUAUUGCCACCAAGUCGAAAAGAAUUCGCGUUCUGCACGAAUAAGCCUGUUUUACGGAAUUAUUGCUUAAACAAGAAUAAAUGUA